AUUGAACGCUGGCGGCAGGCCUAACACAUGCAAGUCGAGCGGAGCGGCGGACGGGUGAGUAAUGCCGAGGAAUCUGCCUGGUAGCGGGGGAUAAAGUCCGGAAACGGGCGCUAAUACCGCAUACUAUCAGAUGAGCAUAGGUCGGAUUAGCCAGUUGGUGGGGGAAAGGCCUACCACGGCGACGAUCCGUAACUGGUCUGAGAGGAUGAGCAGACACGCUGGAACUGAGCCACGGCCCAGAUCCUGACGGGGGGCAGCGUUGGGGAAUAUUGGACAAUGCGCGGAAGCCUGAGGCAGCCCUGCCGCGUGUAUAAAGACGGUCUUCGCAUUGUAAAGCACUUUUAGUUGGGCGGCGUUACCGACAGAAUAAGCACCGGCUAACUUCGUGCAAGCAGCCGCGGUAAUUC
rnacentral:rRNA from 1 species